rnacentral:rRNA from 1 species
UAACAAGGUUUCCGUAGGUGAACCUGCGGAAGGAUCAUUAUUGAAUAAACUUGGUUGGGUUGUUGCUGGCUUUUCGGAGCAUGUGCACGCCUAGCACCAUUUUUACCCCCUGUGCACUUUUUGUAGAUUUGAAACACCUCUCGAGGAAACUCGGUUUGAGGACUGCUGUGCGUAAAGCUAAGCUUUCCUUGCGUUUCAAGUCUAUGUUUUUAUAUAUACCCCAUAAGAAUGUUUUAGAAUGUCAUUAAUUGGGCUUGAUUGCCUCUAAAUUAAUACAACUUUCAACAACGGAUCUCUUGGCUCUCGCAUCGAUGAAGAACGCAGCGAAAUGCGAUAAGUAAUGUGAAUUGCAGAAUUCAGUGAAUCAUCGAAUCUUUGAACGCACCUUGCGCUCCUUGGUAUUCCGAGGAGCAUGCCUGUUUGAGUGUCAUUAAAUUCUCAACCCUUUCAGCUUUUGCGAGCUGGAUUGGCUUGGAUGUGGGGGUUUGCGGGCUUCUCAGAAGUCGGCUCCCCUAAAUGCAUAGCCGAACCUUUGGGGACCAGCUUUGGUGUGAUAAUUAUCUACGCCAUGGUUGUGAAGCAGCUUU